rnacentral:rRNA from 1 species
AGAACGAACGCUGGCGGCAUGCCUAACACAUGCAAGUCGAACGGGCCCUUCGGGGCUAGUGGCGCACGGGUGCGUAACGCGUGGGAAUCUGCCCUUAGGUUCGGAAUAACUCAGGGAGACUUGAGCUAAUACCGUAUAAUGACUUCGGUCCAAAGAUUUAUCGCCUAGGGAUGAGCCCGCGUAGGAUUAGCUUGUUGGUGAGGUAAAGGCUCACCAAGGCGACGAUCCUUAGCUGGUCUGAGAGGAUGAUCAGCCACACGUGGGACUGAGAC